rnacentral:rRNA from 1 species
UACGUAGGGGGCUAGCGUUGUCCGGAAUCAUUGGGCGUAAAGCGCGUGUAGGCGGCCCGGUAAGUCCGCUGUGAAAGUCGGGGGCUCAACCCUCGGAUGCCGGUGGAUACUGUCGGGCUCGAGUACGGAAGAGGCGAGUGGAAUUCCUGGUGUAGCGGUGAAAUGCGCAGAUAUCAGGAGGAACACCAAUGGCGAAGGCAGCUCACUGGGACGGUACUGACGCUGGAGACGCGAAAGCGUGGGGAGCGAACAGG